rnacentral:tRNA from 1 species
GGGUAUAUAGCUCAGUGGUAGGGCGCAUGCUUAGCAGGCAUGAGAUCUUGGGUUCAAUCCCCAGCACCUG